ACUCCUAAGCUUACCUGUUACCGUCGGUAAGUAUGAUGUUAAUCGUUUGCCUGCAGACUCGAAAACCAUUCAGACAGAUGCAUAUUAUUGGGCUGGAAAAUGGAAUCAGCGGCUUGUCUGAGAGUAUUUAUUGGAUGUUAUGGGUCGGUAUGCAGUUAUGAACUGCGAAUUUUGUCUGAUCUGGAGUCAAAGUGGAAGAGGUAUUCAAAGUUAUAAAGUGCGUAAUGAGCACAAGAUUUUUUUUCUGAAUUGUGGGAAGAUAAUUUAACACAGUAACUUUGUGUCUUUUUCCUACUACAAACUGACCGGCUAAGGAGUUUUUAUGGAUACCAAUCUGAAAAUGUCGCUGAUUACGACUGUUGGUGCACUGGCGAUGAUUAUUGCCUUUAGCUUCGUGGCGGUAAUGAAUUAAUU
rnacentral:sRNA from 1 species